rnacentral:rRNA from 1 species
UACGUAGGGGGCAAGCGUUGUCCGGAAUCAUUGGGCGUAAAGCGCGUGUAGGCGGUUCGGUAAGUCUGCUGUGAAAGUCCAGGGCUCAACCCUGGGAUGCCGGUGGAUACUGUCGGACUAGAGUACGGAAGAGGCGAGUGGAAUUCCCGGUGUAGCGGUGAAAUGCGCAGAUAUCGGGAGGAACACCUAUUGCGAAGGCAGCCCCCUGGGAUAACACUGACGCUCAUGCACGAAAGCGUGGGGAGCAAACAGG